AGGAGAGUUGUGCUUGACUUCACAAAUUGCAUCAACAUUAUUUAUCAACCCCGAUAUACAACUUGCUAAGGACAUGCGAGAAUGGGCUCUUUCAAAAGAAAAGAUCAAGACUAAUGGUGCUCCGUCAAGGCUAUUU